UUUUAUUAUAAAAGCACAAAUAACACCAAUAAGACGGUCAAAAGCUUAAUAACAUGUAUCUGUACUCAUGUCAAUAAGUCUUUAACUUUUCUGACUUUUCAAACUCUGUACCAUAUACACAACUGUCAUAAAGUAAAUUGCAUGGUAUGUAUGCCCAUACUUCCUUUUAAACUACUAAAUCAAAUGUAAAUUGACUAAAUUCUUUGUCAUCUCAAAUGUGAGGUUUACAUGUUCAUGAUGUUUAACCUGUAUGUAUUUUUAUAUGUUUCUUGAAAUAACCAGGAUCACUAAACCCUUUACCAUGUUUACCACAUAUCACAUUCAUGAGGUUUAUAAUCUGUAUGUGUUCUCAUGUGAAUCUGUAAAUUACCAAGCCGACUAAACCCUUUACCACAUACAUCACAAUCAAAAGGUUUUACUUGUAUGUGUUCUCAUGUGUCUCUUUAAAUUUCCAAGCUGACUAAACCGUUUACAACAUACAUCACAGUCAUGAGGUUUAUCACCUGUAUGUGUUCUCAUGUGUGCCUGUAAAUGACCAAGUCGUCUGAAAUCUUUACCACACACAUCACAGUCAAAAGGUUUUUCACUUGUAUGUGUUCUCAUGUGAAUUUGUAAAUAACGAGGCUGACUAAACCGUUUACCACAUACAUCACAGCUAUGAGGUUUUUCACCUGUAUCCUGUGUAUGUGUUAUCAUGUGUCUCUUUAAAGUUCCAAGCAGACUAAACCGUUUACCACAUACAUCACAGUCAUGAGGUUUAUCACCUGUAUGUGUUCUCAUGUGUGCCUGUAAAUCAUUAAGCCGACUAAACCCUUUACCACAUAUAUCACAUUCAUAUGGUUUAUCACCUGUAUGUAUUCUCAUGUGUCUUUGUAAAGUUCCAAGCAGAGUAAAUCGUUUCCAACACACAUCACAGUUAUGAGGUUUAUAACCUGUGUGUAUUCUCGAGUGUAUCCGUAAAGUGCCUUGCUCACUAAACCCUUUACCACAUACAUCACAUGCAUAAGGUUUGUCACCUGUAUGUAUUGUCAUGUGUCUCCGUAAAUUACCACGCUGACUAAAUCGUUUACCACAUAUAUCACAGUUAUGAGGUUGUUUACCAUUAUGUGUCCUCUUGUGUCUCUUUAAGUAACUAAGCUGACUGAACUCUUUACCACAUACAUCACAGUCCAUGGGUUUAUCACUUGUAUGUGUUCUCACGUGUCUCUUUAAGUGACUACCUUGAGAAAAUUCUAUAGCACACACAUCACAUUUAUGAAGUGUUUUACCAGCCUGUGUGUUUAUGUGUCUCUGUGGAGUAGGGUUGAGUGUGUCUAAAUCCUCGACUCCCUUUAACAUCUUAUUGAUGUUUAUCUCCAGUAUGUGCGUUCUUAUACAACUC
rnacentral:lncRNA from 1 species